CUACGGGUGGCAGCAGUGGGGAAUUUUGGACAAUGGGCGAAAGCCUGAUCCAGCCAUUCCGCGUGAGUGAUGAAGGCCUUCGGGUUGUAAAGCUCUUUCGGCCGGGAAGAAAUCGUGCAGGCUAAUAUCCUGCAUGGAUGACGGUACCGGAUCAAGAAGCACCGGCUAACUACGUGCCAGCAGCCGCGGUAAUACGUAGGGUGCGAGCGUUAAUCGGAAUUACUGGGCGUAAAGCGUGCGCAGGCGGAUGUUUAAGCCAGAUGUGAAAUCCCCGGGCUUAACCUGGGAAUGGCAUUUGGAACUGGAAAUCGAGAGUGUGUCAGAGGGGGGUGGAACUCCACGUGUAGCAGUGAAAUGCGUAGAGAUGUGGAGGAACACCGAUGGCGAAGGCAGCCCCCUGGGAUAACACUGACGCUCAUGCACGAAAGCGUGGGGAGCAAACAGGAUUAGAUACCCUUGUAGUC
rnacentral:rRNA from 1 species